rnacentral:misc_RNA from 1 species
GAUGAAGAACGUAGCGAAAUGCGAUAAGUAAUGUGAAUUUCAGAAUUCAGUGAAUCAUCGAAUCUUUGAACGCACAUUGCGCCCGCCAGUAUUCUGGCGGGCAUGCCUGUUCGAGCGUCAUUUCAACCCUCAGGCCCCCAGUGCCUGGUGUUGGGGAUCGGCCCAGCCUUCCUGUAAGGCCGCCGGCCCCGAAAUCUAGUGGCGGUCUCGCUGUAGUCCUCCUCUGCGUAGUAGCACAACCUCGCAGUUGGAACGCGGCGGUGGCCAUGCCGUUAAACACCCCACUUCUGAAAGUUGACCUCGGAUCAGGUAGGAAUACCCGCUGAACUUAAGCAUAUCAAUAAGCGGAGGA